rnacentral:rRNA from 1 species
UUAACUGACGCUAAAGCUCGAAAGUGCGGGUAUCGAACAGGAUUAGAUACCCUGGUAGUCCGCACGGUAAACGAUGGAUGCCCGCUGUUGGCGAUAUAAUGUCAGCGGCCAAGUGAAAACGUUAAGCAUCCCACCUGGGGAGUACGCCGGCAACGGUGAAACUCAAAGGAAUUGACGGGGGCCCGCACAAGCGGAGGAACAUGUGGUUUAAUUCGAUGAUACGCGAGGAACCUUACCCGGGCUUGAACUGCAGGGGAACGAUCCAGAGAUGGUGAGGUCAGCAAUGACUCCUGUGGAGGUGCUGCAUGGUUGUCGUCAGCUCGUGCCGUGAGGUGUCGGCUUAAGUGCCAUAACGAGCGCAACCCUUUUCUCUAGUUGCCAUCAGGUUAGGCUGGGCACUCUGGAGACACUGCCACCGUAAGGUGUGAGGAAGGUGGGGAUGACGUCAAAUCAGCACGGCCCUUACGUCCGGGGCUACACACGUGUUACAAUGGGUGAUACAGAGAGUUAGUCGUUCGCAAGAACGGUUUAAUCAAGAAAGUCAUCCUCAGUUCGGAUUGGGGUCUGCAACCCGACCCCAUGAAGCUGGAUUCGCUAGUAA